AAACAAUAAAUUUACAGAGAAUGCCGGAAUUGAAGAAAACAAUUUGAAAAAAAUCCCAAUUUGAUGAAAAUUCCAUUUAGUACAUUUUGACAAUUUGUCGUGGAAUGUUGAGACGGUUUUGUGUUUUACGGGCGUCAUUCGUGUUACGGACGUAAAAAAAAAUUGUAGAAAAAUGCGCGUAGAAAAUUAUUAGUGUUUGUGUGUGUAUAUAUAUUUGAUGUGCGUUUAAUUUAGAAAAUUUGUAAAAACAAAAAUUCUAAUAAGUAUUUAUGUGCAAAAAGCUGCUAAAAAUUUGCCAAGGUUCUUUUUUUUCGAAGAAAUCUAAAGUUGUCUCUAAAUUUACAGCAAAGUUUGUCGUCGGCUAAAAAAAAAAUAAUUUAAUUUAAUUACUUUAGCAGAAAACAAAACGAAAUAACAAAAAAUAAAUUGAGAAAAUAAAGAUCAAAAAUUAUAAAAAAAGAAGUUUUUUUGUUGUUUAUCCGUGUAAGUGUGUCGGUUUUUCGUUUAUAUCGUGCGUGUGUUUGUGCGGCAAGUUUUAAUUUUUUGUUGAGUAUUUCUACGUCACAUUUUUUGUCGCUUUGAAAAGGAAAUUACAAAGGUUUUUUUACAAACAACAACUACAACUAAGUAUUUACAGCAACAACAAUAUUUUAAUAAUUCAUUGAAAUCAAUUAGAGUCAAAA